rnacentral:rRNA from 1 species
CCUACGGGAGGCAGCAGUCGAGAAUCAUUCACAAUGGGGGAAACCCUGAUGGUGCGACGCCGCGUGGGGGAAUGAAGGUCUUCGGAUUGUAAACCCCUGUCAUGUGGGAGCAAAUUAAAAAGAUAGUACCACAAGAGGAAGAGACUGCUAACUCUGUGCCAGCAGCCGCGGUAAUACAGAGGUCUCAAGCGUUGUUCGGAAUCACUGGGCGUAAAGCGUGCGUAGGCUGUUUCGUAAGUCGUGUGUGAAAGGCGCGGGCUCAACCCGCGGACGGCACAUGAUACUGCGAGACUAGAGUAAUGGAGGGGGAACCGGAAGUCUCGGUGUAGCAGUGAAAUGCGGAGAUAUCGAGAGGAACACUCGUGGCGAAGGCGGGUUCCUGGACAUUAACUGACGCUGAGGCACGAAGGCCAGGGGAGCGAAAGGGAUUAGAUACCCUGGUAGUC